GCACCCAUAGCUCAAUUGGAUAGAGCAUCUGACUACGAAUCAGAAGGUUGGAGGUUCGAGUCCUUCUGGGUGCGCCA
rnacentral:tRNA from 1 species